GCCAGACAUUAUAAAAAAGCAAAUCCUGUAAACUCCAUUCAGCCUCCUUGCUGUCCGGUAACGGAGGCUGUUUUUUCGUUACGCCUUUCCCCGGCAGCAUCAGUAGCAGUAAUUUAUAGAUUCUACGAACUGAGACUGUCUGUCCGGGGAGAACGUACACAGCCCGACACAAUGUAC
rnacentral:antisense_RNA from 1 species